rnacentral:rRNA from 1 species
GGAGGGGGCAAGCGUUGUUCGGAAUUACUGGGGCGUAAAGGGCGCGUAGGCGGAGUUAUCAAGUCAGAGGUGAAAGCCCUGGGGCUCAACCUGGGAAUUGCCUUUGAAACUGAUAGUCUAGAGUCCCGAGAGAGGAUGGCGGAAUUCCCAGUGUAGAGGUGAAAUUCGUAGAUAUUGGGAAGAACACCAGUGGCGAAGGCGGCCAUCUGGCUCGGUACUGACGCUGAGGCGCGAAAGCGUGGGGAGCAAACAGGAUUAGAUACCCUGGUAGUCCGCGCCGUAAACGAUGUGUGCUAGCCGUUGGGAAACCUAGUUUCUCAGUGGCGCAGCUAACGCAUUAAGCACACCGCCUGGGGAGUACGGUCGCAAAGAUUA